rnacentral:rRNA from 1 species
ACAGCAGUAGCCACGGUAAUACGGAGGGUGCAAGCGUUAAUCGGAUUUACUGGGCGUAAAGCGUGCGUAGGCGGCUUUUUAAGUCGGAUGUGAAAUCCCUGAGCUUAACUUAGGAAUUGCAUUCGAUACUGGGAAGCUAGAGUAUGGGAGAGGAUGGUAGAAUUCCAGGUGUAGCGGUGAAAUGCGUAGAGAUCUGGAGGAAUACCGAUGGCGAAGGCAGCCAUCUGGCCUAAUACUGACGCUGAGGUACGAAAGCAUGGGGAGCAAACAGGAUUAGAUACCCCUGUAGUCCCUGUCUCUUAUAC